ACAGCACACACUGUCUUUCUUGGAAAGAAACACUUCCUUCCAACAUACGGGACACACAUUUGGAGCUGAGGGUCUGAGCACAAGAUCAAAACAUGAGAGCUGCAGUGGGUGCCAUUCUUCUCUUGCUGACUCUGUGUCAGGGAGAGGCGCUGAGAUGCAACUUUUGUUUCUCAGACGACAGUAACCUCUGCACUCCUACAAGCACCCAGACCUGUUCGGGACAGGCUAAUGCCUGUGGUGCUGUGAUAUUCCAAGGCGCUCUGAGGUCUUCGUUCCGUCAGUGCAUGAACAUGGCGGUGUGUCAGGGCUACAUGACAACACCUGGUGUGUUUGCCCAAUGCUGCAGCACCGACCUUUGCAACUGAUCCUCUUCCUUUAAGUCUACAACCAUAUGAUCGCUGAUUCCUAAAUCAAGACUGGACGUUGUUAGCUUCAUAUUGCUCUUACACUGCUUCCAAUCAAGUGCAUUUCUGUUUGCUUUCUCUGUAAUGGAAUGGUAUUUGGUGUCUUCUGUGUCAGGUCCAAAAUAAACCAGUGAGCUUUGACUCUGAAUGACACUAGAUGGCAGUGGUGCACUAUACAACACUGCGAGCAGCCACUCAUCAGUCUGUAAAUCUGAUACAGUGCCAACCACAUUUAAUAAAGAGGAAAAAAACAAAAACCCCACACACGCUCUUUCUUGUUACAUAAACUGAAUCACAUAUGGAGAAUGACAUAUUUGAAGCCUGUCUCUCUAUACACUGAUCUCAAUUAAUACCUAUUGAACAGGAAAUAAUUCAGCCGUUCCCAAUCACAGUGCAGUGGAUUCUCCUUUGGGAAUAGUUCCUCCC